UGACAAUCAUAGAAUUCCCAAAAAAAAAUAGCUGCAAUUGUUUUGUUGUGUGGUUUUAUUAGAACUAAUAUGAAAAAUAUGAACCAAAUAUGAAGAGUUUAUACAUGAAUUCAUCAAUUUUGAAUGAGAGAUUGGCAUAUAACUGAAAUGAACAACAGUGUUAUAUGGUAAUGUUUCUUAAGAAAAUUGGCUGAGUCUAAAUCACCCAAAAAGCUAGCUCAAGAGGAAGGAG
rnacentral:misc_RNA from 1 species